CUUGAUCGAGCCGAGCAGGAGCGGCCGGUCGGCGGGCCGGUCCUGCCCGUAGGUGGCCAGCAGCGCCUGCGCCUC
rnacentral:antisense_RNA from 1 species